rnacentral:rRNA from 1 species
AACGCUAGCUACAGGCUUAACACAUGCAAGUCGAGGGGCAGCGCAGUGUAGCAAUACAUGGGCGGCGACCGGCGCACGGGUGCGUAACGCGUAUCCAACCUUCCCGUUACUCAGGGAUAGCCUUCCGAAAGGGAGAUUAAUACCUGAUGGUGUUUGAAUUCCGCAUGUUAUUCAAACUAAAGAUUUAUCGGUAACGGAUGGGGAUGCGUGACAUUAGAUAGUAGGCGGGGUAACGGCUCACCAAGCCUACGAUGUCUAGGGGUUCUGAGAGGAAGGUCCCCCACACUGGAACUGAGACACGGUCCAGACUCCUACGGGAGGCAGCAGUGAGGAAUAUUGGUCAAUGGACGAGAGUCUGAACCAGCCAAGUAGCGUGCAGGACGACGGCCCUCUGGGUUGUAAACUGCUUUUAGUUGGGAAUAAAAAGAGGGACGUGUCCCUAAUUGUAUGUACCAUCAGAAAAAGGACCGGCUAAUUCCGUGCCAGCAGCCGCGGUAAUACGGAAGGUCCAGGCGUUAUCCGGAUUUAUUGGGUUUAAAGGGAGCGUAGGCGGGUCAUUAAGUCAGUCGUCAAAGCCUGUGGCUCAACCACAGCCCGCGAUUGAUACUGGUGACCUUGAGUGCGGAUGAGGUGGAUGGAAUUCGUGGUGUAGCGGUGAAAUGCUUAGAUAUCACGAAGAACUCCGAUUG